UUCCAGAAGGUGGUAGGAGGUGCUAUGCUAUACAAAAGGCUUAAAUUCAUGACUAAAAACAUAAUUGGGGAAUACCAGAAUAUUAGUGUCAGAAUUCGUGUAGGAAAGCCAAUUAAAAUGUGCUAAACGAUGCUAACGAAGUCGGAAAUUAAGGGAAGCCAAAUCCCAACAAGGACUGUGGGUCACAAAAGAGAGCGAGGUUGCAUAAAGGAUAGGAAUGUAAUGUUAUAAAAAAGCAUUAUAUUGAUUGUAUUAUUUAUAUUUAGGUCCCAUACAUUACAACAGAUUGUCACAAUAAAUUAUGUUCAAAAA